AGUGAACGCUGGCGGUAGGCCUAACACAUGCAAGUCGAACGGCAGCACAGUAAGAGCUUGCUCUUACGGGUGGCGAGUGGCGGACUGGUGAGGAAUACAUCGGAAUCUACUUUUUCGUGGGGGAUAACGUAGGGAAACUUACGCUAAUACCGCAUACGACAUACGGGUGAAAGCAGGGGAUCUUCGGACCUUGCGCGAUUGAAUGAGCCGAUGUCGGAUUAGCUAGUUGGCGGGGUAAAGGCCCACCAAGGCGACGAUCCGUAGCUGGUCUGAGAGGAUGAACAGCCAAACUGGAACUGAGAAACGGUCCAGACUCCUAAGGGAGGCAGCAGUGGGGAAUAUUGGACAAAGGGCGCAAGCCUGAUCCAGCCAUACCGCGUGGGUGAAGAAGGCCUUCGGGUUGUAAAGCCCUUUUGUUGGGAAAGAAAAGCAGCAGGUUAAUACCCCGCUGUUCUGACGGUACCCAAAGAAUAAGCACCGGCUAACUUCGUG
rnacentral:rRNA from 1 species